rnacentral:lncRNA from 1 species
GUUCUCUACAGCACGCUGUGUUCUGGUUACAUUAGCUCUUACUCUGCUGCAGGUCUGGUUCUCUUUUCCUUAUUCUUCAUGUGAAUGAGGUACUAACACGAGGCUGUGCCUGAAUUAGGUCUCAUGCCUGUGUUUUGUGUGUAGGAGAUGUACCUUGAGAUAGAGCAGAAGGUGGCCGACCUGUCUGUGCUGGGACAGCAGGAGGCCUCAGUAGGGUCCCACCAGGAGGCCGAGGCUCUUUCCUCCAAACUGGAGAUGCUGAAGACCAGGCUGGUCACCUUUCAGCUGCUUCUGCAAGAGAAACAGAGCCAGGAGCAGGUCCCAACACCAUCACUGUCUUCACCCAGAAGGCCACCACUAGAGGGCAAACUGCAGCGUAGCGCCAGCGUCCAGGAGAUGUUUUCCUCCUCGAGAAGCAAACUAUUUAGACAGACCAGCUUUCAGCAGCAGAAGGAAUUGGAGCAGGAGCUGAAUGAACAGAGAGACCUGACCAAAGCCAUCGCCCAGCAGGGGAGUAGAGGUCGUAUCCACAGCCAGACACAAGAGGAUCAAGCCAAGAUAUCUUUAGGAGUUCCUGUUGAGUUGGACAGUGAGGGGGAGACAGCGGCCCAAGAAAAGUGGACUCACCUACACAACCGACUUCUGGCCUUAGAGGAGACUGUACAGAAAGGUUCUUCUGAUGUACGCAUCUCUUGCUGUUAAAUCACAUAAAUUGUCAAAGGUGUAAUCUUCAAAACGAUGACUGCGUUUUUGUGCAAGCUCAUGGCUUAUUAAAAUAGGGUUUACAUUUCUCUCUUUCUCUCUCCAUAGGUGACCGACUUUCCUGUGAGUUGGAGUCACAGAACAGCUUGUGGUGUUAUUGACCCCCGCAGCUUGCAGGAUGUGCAGGCACACAUCAGUCGGUUGAGAGAGCUGGGCCAGGCAGCCAGGGAGGUGGUGGCUUCGGUAAGGGAGGUCUCCUUGGUCGCGAAUACAAACCAAACCAUCUAAUCUUUCCAAGAAACCGAUGGGU